GACGAACGCUGGCGGCGUGCUUAACACAUGCAAGUCGAACGGAAAGGCCCCUUUGGGGGUACUCGAGUGGCGAACGGGUGAGUAACACGUGAGUAACCUGCCCUUGACUUCGGGAUAACUUCAGGAAACUGGGGCUAAUACCGGAUAGGAAUCCUUGCUGCAUGGUGGGGGUUGGAAAGCUUUGGGGGUUUUGGUUGGCCUGGGGGCGUAGCAGGUUGUGGGUGGGGGUGGGGGUUACCAAGGCGUUGACGGGUAGCGGGCCAGAGAGGGCGACGGGCCACACUGGGACUGAGAGACGGCCCAGACGCCUACGGGAGGCAGCAGUGGGGAACAUUGCACAAUGGGCGGCAGCUUGAUGCAGCAACGCCGCGUGCGGGAUGACGGCCUUCGGGUUGUAAACCGCGUUCAGCAGGGGCGAAGCGUGUGGUGACGGUACCUGCAGAAGAAGCACCGGCUAACUACGUG
rnacentral:rRNA from 1 species